rnacentral:rRNA from 1 species
CUGGCUCAGGAUGAACGCUGGCGGCGUGCUUAACACAUGCAAGUCGAACGAUGAUCCCAGCUUGCUGGGGGAUUAGUGGCGAACGG